UUAUUGAUGUGAAUAUGAUUUGAAUGUUCAUUAUAUGAAAAUUGAUGAAACAUUGAUAUAUUUGAUAAAAAGGGGAAGAAAUCUCGGUUGAAUGGAAGAAAAUUCGAUGGAUCUCUAAAAAGAAAUUGAUAGUAAAAAGGAUCUAUCCCAGAUGGGUGAUCCUAUCUUGAUAUAGCCCUCCCGAAGAAUAUGUGUGAAAAAGAUCUAGCACGGAUGGGUGAUCUUGAUAUAGCCCUCCCGAAAAAUAUGUGAAAAAUAGAUUUAGCCCGGACGGGUAAUCCAAAUUAGGGUCUAAAUUUAGCUUGGAUUGGUAAUUCAAAUCCAAGCUCAUUAGAGUAAUUGUCAUUACAGGGGAUUUAGCCUGAACUGAUAAUCCAGACAAUACUCUAUGAGUUUAUAUUAAAGGAGAUUUAGCCUAAACUGGUAAUCCCACUGUAAGAAAUGACGUUCGCGGGAGUGUACUCUCUUGGAAAAUGUGCGCACAUGAAUAUGAAUUGACGGACCCGAAUUAGUACACUAAAGUGUCCCCCUGAAAAUCCAUCAAAAUUUCGAAAAAUUCAACGGGAUAAAAAUAGAAAAAUGAUAAGUACUUAAAAUCAUGAAAUUAAACUUGAAAUACAUAGAAAUGAUAAUUAUUUGAUAUACUAAAAUAUGACAUGGAAAAUACAUGUAUGUGAAACUUGUCUGAUAAUUAUGCAUAUUCAAGAUUAUGAACUGCUACUGGAAUAAAUAUACAUUGAAAUCUAAAAAAAAUUAUGGUACAUGAAAUAUUGUCAUAAUGAAUUGAAUAAUUUAUAUUUAAAAAGAAACAACAAGAAAAUGAUAUGUAUAAUGACAUGUAAAUAUGAGACUAUCUUUGAUACGUUGAUACUAAGAAAAAUUAUGUGUAUUAAGACGAGUAAUAAAUUUAAGUGAGACAUGGCGAGAAAAUAAGUUUGUCAAUAUUAAAGUACGCUAACCAAUGUUGUUGCUUGAAUUUUAGGCAAGUGCCAAAUUACUAUUGAAUGAUAAUAUGUUUAAUUAUAAGGUGCUUUGGAAUGGUAAGUGCUUAGAUAAAAAUAUAAUUGAGCUUAUGAAAGAGUGGAAAGGUUUCAGUUAUGCAAUUUCUUAUGAAAAAAUUUGUUAUAUGAUACGCCCCGUAUGAACCCUGCACCUAAUUUGAAAAUAAAAAAAAAAUUAAAAUCUAUAUAUAUAUUUAGGAUUUUGCGAAAAAUUUCCUAUGAUUCCGAUUUAAUCUCAGUAGGUUCCUAAUAAAUGUUUUGGGCUUCGAGAGCCCAAUAGAGGGACGUUAUGAUUAUUUUCAGAAUAUGAAUAAUAAAUGGUUCAAAAUUAUUGAAAAUGUUUAGUAAACUCCGGUAAUGCUUCGUGCCCUAUUUCGACAACGGAUAUGGGUAGGGGGUGUUACACUUCUUCCCAUUUCGGUAAAAGCAUUUCCACCAAGAUUGCAAUCAUCGGAUGCAACAAAGUCGGGUGAAAACAAUUGCAAACCAUGAUUGUGCGUAUUAAAUGCAUCCCGCAACAUACCUUCCAUGUCAUCUUUUCUAACAGACUGAUGGUAAUCACUAUGAGGAUAAGCCAGAUUAAUCGUCGAAGAGAUUCUACUGGUGUGCACUCUCCAUGGAAAAUCCAUUUUUUAUACCCCCGAAUAAACCCAUCAACAAUUAGAUGUUCGUAGACAACUUUACGAAAAUGCCAAUUGAUGUUGCCACACUUUUUACACAGGCAAAGAAUCAUAUUCUCUUGGCUUGCAUUUUGAAAUGCAAAAUUUAGAAAAGUUUGUAGUCCAUUUCGUAGUUCUUGAAGUCUAAAGUUGACAAUAAAUUACACGGGUAAGUUGUUUAUUUAUAAGUAUAAUUAAGUUAUGUAAGUUAUGAUAUGAUAUAUAUUUAUGUAUUAUGUAAGUUAUGAUAUGAUAUAUAUAAGUUAUGUAAGUUAUGAUAUGAUAUAUAUAAGUUAUGUAAGUUAUGAUAUGAUAUAUAUAACUUAUGUAAGUUAUGAUAUGAUAUAUAUAUAUAAGUUAUUAUGUAUGUAUGUGAGUUAUGUAAAUUAUGAUAUGAUAUAUAUAAGUUAUUAAGUUAAGAUCCCAAGUUUUUUUUCAAUUCUUUAAAGUUAAGUAAAUUAUGUAAGUUAUGUAAGUUUUGAUAUGAUAUAUAUUUAUGUAAGUUAUGUAAAUUAUGCAAGUUAUGUAAGUUAUGAUAUAUAUUUUAUAAGUUUUAAAAACAUUUAAAAAUAUUAAAUAUUAAAAUCAAACAUUUUUAAUAUCAAAAAAAUAGUAAUUUGAUUUUUAUAUUAAAAUAAAUUUAAAUAAUGAUCAAAAUUAUCAUAUUGAUAAAAAAUAUUUAUAAGUUUUAAAAAAAUUUAAAAAUAUUAAAUAUUAAAAUCAAAUAUUAAGUUUUGAUAUGAUAUAUAUUUAUGUAAGUUAUGUAAAUUAUAUAAUAUUUUAAAAUAGAAACUUUAAAAUAUUAUUUUAAGCGGAUAUUAUUUAUUUUAAUUUUAAAGACAAAAUCGUAAAUGAAUCUCUUUUUUUUUUUUAAAAAAAAAACUCUAAUAAACCUGGAAGUUAUAUAUAACGAAAGCUGUCAUGAGUGUGAAAGGGGAAACUAUAAGAUUCAAAGUUGUAAAUUUUAGAAACAAAAAAAAAAAAAAGUUAGGCAAAUGUUCAAUAAUGAUUUAUGAAUGAAAUAUUCAGAUUAUUAGUUUGAAUUGAUUGAUUUAAUUAGUGAAAUAAGGUGAUUCUAGAAUUAAUAAUAUCAUUUUCAUUAUUAUGAUUGGUGGUCUGCAAAUUAUUCACUCUGACAAUUAAAUUAUUUUGACAAAACUUACUAUUUUCCUCUAAAUCAUGUAUAUUCAUGAAUCUUGAUUUUGAUCCCAGUGGGGGAAAAUUUUCAUUUUAUGGCUAUGAAUUUGGAAGAGUUGAAGUUCAUCUUCAUCAAAGAGAUGACAAAGCUAUUACCUUGUCAUAUAGGAAGGUAGAGCAAUUUACCGUGAAGAAAUUUGUCAAAAUUUAACUCAAGUUAAUGGCUUAACAAUUGAAGUAAUGAAUGAUACAGAAGCAGAGACAAAUGAUGCAGAGGCAGAGACAAAUUUCAUGAUUGAAGUAGAAUGCUCAAGUUAGGUUUACGGAUUCAAAAAUUACACUAUCACAUUCAACUAUAGAACCAAAAGGGGGAAAGGGAAGAAAAACAAAAAGGCAGAAAAUAAGGAAUGAGAAAUUGAACCAAAAGGCAUAAGAUAUAGAAAUAGAAGGAAUACAAUAAGAGAUUCCAGCAAAAGAGAAAAACAGAUUUGCAAAGAACUAUUUGUUAUUAUAACGCAGGAAUGCUCAAAGCAAAUAUGGAGAAAAACGUUGAUUGAUUAAGAUAUAUAUAUAUAUAUCUUAAACAUUCAGCAUUAAAAGAAAAGAAGAUAUUGGUGAUUAUGUAUACAAAAAUUUCGGGGGGGUGGGGGGGGAGAAGAAGAAAAGAGAGCUUACCGAGCUCGAAAACUUGAAGAAUGGGAGGGAAACACUAAUAAGGGAUUUUGUUACGGAAAAUCCUAAUUUGUGAGAUUGAAAGAGAAGCUUUUAAUUUCGCACGAGCUUUAGAAUCGGGGUUGUGCCCUACAGAUAGCAAUAGAAGCAAUGAAGAAAUUAAAGAGAAAGAAAAAACAAAGCAAGCAUUAAAGAAAGAAAAAAUCAAAGAGAAAAAGGAACAGCCAUAUACCCAGUCAACGGAGAAAUUAGGUAAGGUGAUGAGAUUUUUACCAGUCAGCCCAAACGAGAAGCGAUCUUGCAGCGAGCAGAAGGCCGGAAAACAACGUUGAAGGGGUGAAAGAUCUAGGGAUUUGCAGGAGAGGAGAAAGACGGAAGGAGAGUCGGGGGCUGAGAUUUAGACUUAGAACAACAGACCACAAAAAAAAAAAAGAUGCCAUUUAAGUCAAACUGAUAUUGCAAUAUUUGCUGCGCUUAUAAAAAAACGUGACUAAUUGUAUAACUUUUG
rnacentral:lncRNA from 1 species